ACUCCUGCGGGAGGCAGCAGUGGGGAAUUUUGGACAAUGGGCGAAAGCCUGAUCCAGCAAUGCCGCGUGAGUGAAGAAGGCCUUCGGGUUGUAAAGCUCUUUUGUCAGGGAAGAAACGGUGAAAGCUAAUAUCUUUUGCUAAUGACGGUACCUGAAGAAUAAGCACCGGCUAACUACGUGCCAGCAGCCGCGGUAAUACGUAGGGUGCAAGCGUUAAUCGGAAUUACUGGGCGUAAAGCGUGCGCAGGCGGUUUUGUAAGUCUGAUGUGAAAUCCCCGGGCUCAACCUGGGAAUUGCAUUGGAGACUGCAAGGCUAGAAUCUGGCAGAGGGGGGUAGAAUUCCACGUGUAGCAGUAAAAUGCGUAGAUAUGUGGAGGAACACCGAUGGCGAAGGCAGCCCCCUGGGUCAAGAUUGACGCUCAUGCACGAAAGCGUGGGGAGCAAACAGGAUUAGAUACCCCAGUAGUCCCAUGAU
rnacentral:rRNA from 1 species